GGCUGAGUUUCAAAGAAAAAGAUCUUUGCAUAUUUUGCUAUUCGCUCCAGUUGUGCUCACCCUUUUCCACGGCAAUUGCACAGAGACUAACUUUUAAUUAGCUUCAAAGCUGUGUGAUAUCGUCAGGAGCAGCCAAUGCAGCUAUUGGGCUUCCUUCGUUUGUGGGAAAGACAUGAAAAAUAUGCAGAAUAAACUGUGCAGCUCUCCAUAAGGGAGGGAAAGUAACAGUCCAAUUUUAUGUAGAGGCAAGUUUUCUGCAACUUUGUUUUUGGUGAGAAAAGGGAAGAAGAAAGGAAACAAAGAGAGAAGACGAGGAGAAAAGAAGCAUUUAUUACACUAUAAUGAGGCUCUGGAAAUCUCUGGACUCGUUGUCAGGAAGCAGGAGCUGGAGGCUCAGAAGGAAUACACUGUGCAGGCUGUCAGCAUGGAGACACUGAGCUCAACUUCAC
rnacentral:lncRNA from 1 species